GGGCUCGUAGCUUAAUUGGAAAAGUAUUGCGCUUCGAACGCAAUUAUCUGGGUUCAACUCCUGGCGAGCUCA
rnacentral:tRNA from 1 species